AGUGAACGCUGGCGGUAGGCCUAACACAUGCAAGUCGAACGGCAGCACAGUAAGAGCUUGCUCUUACGGGUGGCGAGUGGCGGACGGGUGAGGAAUACAUCGGAAUCUACUUUUUCGUGGGGGAUAACGUAGGGAAACUUACGCUAAUACCGCAUACGACCUACGGGUGAAAGCAGGGGAUCUUCGGACCUUGCGCGAUUGAAUGGGCCGAUGUCGGAUUAGCUAGUUGGCGGGGUAAAGGCCCACCAAGGCGACGAUCCGUAGCUGGUCUGAGAGGAUGAUCAGCCGCACUGGAACUGGGACACGGUCCAGGCUCCUACGGGAGGCAGCAGUGGGGAAUAUUGGACAAUGGGCGCAAGCCUGAUCCAGCCAUACCGCGUGGGUGAAGAAGGCCUUCGGGUUGUAAAGCCCUUUUGUUGGGAAAGAAAAGCAGCAGGUUAAUACCCCGCUGUUCUGACGGUACCCAAAGAAUAAGCACCGGCUAACUUCGUG
rnacentral:rRNA from 1 species